rnacentral:rRNA from 1 species
CAGCAGCCGCGGGAAUACGUAGGUGGCAAGCGUUAUCCGGAAUUAUUGGGCGUAAAGGGCUCGCAGGCGGUUUCUUAAGUCUGAUGUGAAAGCCCCCGGCUCAACCGGGGAGGGUCAUUGGAAACUGGGAAACUUGAGUGCAGAAGAGGAGAGUGGAAUUCCACGUGUAGCGGUGAAAUGCGUAGAGAUGUGGAGGAACACCAGUGGCGAAGGCGACUCUCUGGUCUGUAACUGACGCUGAGGAGCGAGAGCGUGGGGAGCGAACAGGAUUAGAUACCCCGGUAGUCCCUGUCUCUUAUAC